rnacentral:rRNA from 1 species
AGAGUUUGAUCCUGGCUCAGGAUGAACGCUGGCGGCGUGCCUAACACAUGCAAGUCGAACGAGGUAUUGAGAGCUUGCUUUUAAUACCGAGUGGCGGACGGGUGAGUAAUGUAUGUGCAACCUGCCUUUCAGAGGGGGACAACAGUUGGAAACGACUGCUAAUACCGCAUAAUGUUUUUGAGCGGCAUCGCUUAAAAACCAAAGGAGCAAUCCGCUGAAAGAUGGGCUCAUAUCUGAUUAGUUAGUUGGUGAGGUAACGGCUCACCAAGACUGCGACCAGUAGCCGGACUGAGAGGUUGAACGGCCACAUUGGGACUGAGAUACGGCCCAGACUCCUACGGGAGGCAGCAGUGGGGAAUAUUGGGCAAUGGGCGAAAGCCUGACCCAGCAACGCCGCGUGAAGGAAGAAGGUCUUCGGAUUGUAAACUUCUUUUAUGAGGGACGAAGGAAGUGACGGUACCUCAUGAAUAAGCCACGGCUAACUACGUGCCAGCAGCCGCGGUAAUACGUAGGGUGCGAGCGUUGUCCGGAAUUACUGGGCGUAAAGAGCUCGUAGGUGGUUUGUCGCGUCGUCUGUGAAAUUCCGGGGCUUAACUCCGGGCGUGCAGGCGAUACGGGCAUAACUUGAGUGCUGUAGGGGAGACUGGAAUUCCUGGUGUAGCGGUGAAAUGCGCAGAUAUCAGGAGGAACACCGAUGGCGAAGGCAGGCCUCUGGGCAGUAACUGACGCUGAGGAGCGAAAGCAUGGGUAGCGAACAGGAUUAGAUACCCUGGUAGUCCAUGCCGUAAACGGUGGGCGCUAGGUGUGGGGGUCUUCAACGACUUCUGUGCCGUAGCUAACGCAUUAAAGCGCCCCGCCUGGGGAGUACGGCCGCCAGGGCUAAACUCAAAGGAAAUUGACGGGGGGCCCGCACAAGCGGCCGGAGCAUGUGGAAUAAUUCCAAUGCAACGCGAAAAACCUUACCUGGGCUUGACAUAUGCCGGAUCGGCGCAGAGAUGUGCUUUCCCUUGUGGUCGGUAUACAGGUGGUGCAUGGUUGUCGUCAGCUCGUGUUGUGAGAUGUUGGGUUAAGUCCCGCCACGAGCGCAACCCUUCUUUUGUGUUGCCAGCACGUUAUGGUGGGGACUCGCGAGAGACUGCCGGGGACAACCCGGAGGAAGGAGGGGACGACGUCAAAUCAUCACGCCCCUUACGGGCAGGGCCACACACGUGCUACAAUGGCGGGCACAGAGGGGAGCGAGCGCGCGAGCGCGAGCCGAUCCCGAAAGCCCGCCCCAGUUCGGACCGGGGGCUGCAACCCGCCCCCGCGAAGCCGGAAUCGCUAGUAAUCGCGGAUCAGCACGCCGCGGUGAAUACGUUCCCGGGUCUUGCACUCACCGCCCGUCA